GCCACUUACAGGCUCAAAUUAUUAUUCUAACAUCCUUUUUGUUGAACCAGAAACAGCCCGAAAUCACCAUCGCCUAACUCACCAGACUCCAUUUAAAUAAACGGUACUUUUAGCGUGUCUAGAGGCAGCAUAUUUCCACAUGUAAAUGGGUUAAUUAAGGGUUUAUUUUA